AUAAAGGGAGAGGGGAAGGGCCUACACCCCACAGCCGCUCAGGGCUCGCGGCCGCCCCGUGCAGCCCGCACACAGACCCGCAGCCCGGCGGGGCCCGAGAAGGCCCCAGACCCGGCGGGGCCCAGCGCGGACUGGAAGAUUGUUAAGACACCUCCUGCAUGCAGAGCCCACCGGGAGAAGUGCAGGUGUCCUCAGGCCCUGCUCUAACGUCCUGAGAGGUGGAAUGGGCCCAAGCUCUUGCCCGAUGGACGGCUCUCCAAGCAUGUCCUCCCAGGACCCUUCUAACCAGUGAAUUGUUCUCCACCCAGUGAUUCUUCCCGACUGAGGCCAAGAGAUUUCUGGAUCUUCUUGUCAUGGGUCAGCAACAUCCCAUGAGUGACCGCGAAGUGGGGGUUUCUAAGUCCCUCAGGCAAGGACAAAGCAGAUGAGCCUAGCUCUGGGGGGAAGCACAAGAGUGUGUCCACCAUGGCUGUGCCUGGAUGCUGAGGGCUGGCCAGACUGGGGCCAGCUGGAAUUCUAGAAUUUGUACUUGGUGUGAGUCAUAACAAAACUGCCCAGGUGAAGAGCUUCCUCUGAAGACAGCUGGUCUACCCAUGGGCCAAGUGGCCCGUUCCUGUUGCCUUGCAAAUGACCACAGCCUGUCAGGGCAAGUGAGGGUCGCAGACUGGAACCAAAGGAAGUCAGGCGCCUCAUAGGAGGAUAAGCAAAACAACCCAGUCAAGAAGGUCACUAUGUGGAGCUGGCAAGGUUCCCUGAUGGUGACCAGUGGCCAUGGCGGAGUGUGGAGGUGAAGUUACAGAUUUUCCUUAGCAGAGCUGUGGAGUGUGACAAUGGUGUUUGUGUCCAAACUAUCAAACGCCAUUAUCACACUAAAUAGCUACUGUUAGGCAAUCCUUCCGCUCAAUAAAUGCUUUGGCAUUUGUGUGGUUUGGGCAAGAAGGUUCCUCUUCCAGCAGAGCUCCCAGUCCUGUGUGAUUACUGGGUAAAUGCAGGCCCACUGGUGCUCACAACCAGCCUGUUGUCUGAACUUGGCCUCUCACAUGCUGUUGUUCAAUACUUUAGCUGGUGAUGAACUUUCUUGUUUUCCCGAGUCAAUAAAAAAUAUGGUCAUGUCUCCCGGAGCGCCCGGUACAGUUGUUCAACCCAGGCUUGUUGAGUUGAAAUGAGUAGUUAGGCAAGAUCUGGAAAACAAAAAGUGGGUUGAGUCUAAGUUGUACAAAGCAGAGGCUUAUAGGAACAGAAUUAAGUAAGAGGUGUGGGUGGGUCCUCACUUCCCAUUGUAGGAAAACAACCUUCUAGUAAACCUACACAUGGCUUAACCGACCUUUCAGAAAGUCUUGAACAUAUUUGAUUUCUACUGAUGUUAACUGGUUAUGAGGCUGAUUUCUGAAUUUGUGUAGUAAGUCCUUUUCCUUCUAGUUCAAUGAACUAUCAUCGGGAAAUGUUAUACGAACUAUGUGUGAGUUGCCAUAGCAAAUCUGAACAUUUUAAACCCAAGCAGUUUCCAGGACAAUUGGACCAGCCAGGUGUUCUCGUUCGAAAUACAUUUUUUCCUCUGAGAGGUGUUUAAAAUAACGAGUAGGUUCUGUUUGUGCUGGGCUGAAGCGUCUUUUCCGUCAUUGGCUACGUGAACUGGGAUCUGUUUGAUCAAACUGAAGGGUUUGAAGCAUCCAUCAGAAAUAAGUUCAUUCAAGCAUUCAGCCAUUCAUUUACCAAACAAAUCUAUAUGGAGAGGCUGUCAAGUGUUGGGCUCAGCCGUAGGCACUGGAGAAGCUUUUAAAUUAAAUGCGUCUGACGUCA